UACGUAGGGUGCGAGCGUUAAUCGGAAUUACUGGGCGUAAAGCGUGCGCAGGCGGUUUUGUAAGACAGAUGUGAAAUCCCCGGGCUUAACCUGGGACCUGCAUUUGUGACUGCAAGGCUGGAGUGCGGCAGAGGGGGAUGGAAUUCCGCGUGUAGCAGUGAAAUGCGUAGAUAUGCGGAGGAACACCGAUGGCGAAGGCAAUCCCCUGGGCCUGCACUGACGCUCAUGCACGAAAGCGUGGGGAGCAAACAGG
rnacentral:rRNA from 1 species